AACGGUGAACACUGCCCCCUUUUUUUUUAAUCUCCUGAUCCUGACAACUACUUCCUAUAAUAAAUUAAGUUGAAAUCUCUCGUUUAAUAUAAUCAUCCUGUCUAGAUAUUCUUGCCUGCAUCUGUUAACUUUAUAGAGCUACUGAUGAAUUCGGCAGAUUAGCAUCCAUAUGCUUGUGAUCGCUCCUUAAAUUCAUGAAUUUUAAGUGUUUAAUUAGUAAUUUCUAAAGAUAAUAUGUAUGUUGUUGUCAAGUUUCAAGUCUUUUUUGUUUAACACACACUUCAUAUAUAAAGUCGAGCACACAUAUACAUAUAUAUAUACCCAUUUGAAAGGAAUACGAAUUUUAUUUUGAUACUAAAAAAGAAGAGAUGGAUGAACCUUAACACAUGCG
rnacentral:lncRNA from 1 species